CUGCUUCUCAUGAACUUAUUUGGUCAUAAGUCGCUUUGUCGCGCCGGAGACGGCAGAGCAUCCCAAAACGACCCUAAACCCCUUAUCUCCUAUUCUAGUACUCUCUUCUUCUAAAACUCAAACAAUUUUCCAAAUCGAACCAAAAACCAUAAGAACCUUAAGUCCAAAAAAUGAACGGUUAGAUUAGGAGUUGUUAGUAAAAUGAAGUUGAGUUGAGGUUAUAAUGAGAUGUUAGAGAGUUAGUUUGUUUGACAAUUAAGUUAGUUGAUGUGGAUGAGUUGAAUUUGAAGGACAGGUGUGGUCAUGGAGUGAGCAUGACUUAGCUUGAAAACAACAUCACCAUAUCAUGUAAAGUUGGCAUGUUUGAUGGACAAGAAAAGUAGGGACACAUCAAGAAUCAUGGAGAAGUUUGAAGACUUGGAUGCAUAAGGAUCAGAGAACUUUGAGGAUGAAGGAAAAGUAAAACAGGGUUUAGGAUUAGGUAGUUUGACUUUGGUCAACUGCUUGACAAAAAAGCCAAUAGUUGACCAAAAGUCAACUCUAGGUUAAAUGAUAUAAAAUUUUGUGUAGAUUUUAAUUUGACUCUCUUGUAAUGAAA